rnacentral:rRNA from 1 species
GACGAACGCUGGCGGCGUGCUUAACACAUGCAAGUCGAACGGAAAGGCCCUGCUUUUGUGGGGUGCUCGAGUGGCGAACGGGUGAGUAACACGUGAGUAACCUGCCCUUGACUUUGGGAUAACUUCAGGAAACUGGGGCUAAUACCGGAUAGGAGCUCCUGCUGCAUGGUGGGGGUUGGAAAGUUUCGGCGGUUGGGGAUGGACACGCGGCUUAUCAGCUUGUUGGUGGGGUAGUGGCUUACCAAGGCUUUGCCGGGUAGCCGGCCUGAGAGGGUGACCGGCCACAUUGGGACUGAGAUAGGGCCCAGACUGCUACGGGAGGCAGCAGGGGGGAAUAUUGCACAAUGGGCGGAAGCCUGAUGCAGCAACGCCGCGUGCGGGAUGACGGCCUUCGAGUUGUAAACCGCUUUCGCCUGUGACGAAGCGUGAGUGACGGUAAUGGGUAAAGAAGCACCGGCUAACUACGUG